rnacentral:rRNA from 1 species
UACGGGGGGGGGCAAGCGUUGUUCGGAAUUACUGGGCGUAAAGGGCUCGUAGGCGGCCAACUAAGUCAGACGUGAAAUCCCUCGGCUUAACCGGGGAACUGCGUCUGAUACUGGAUGGCUUGAGAUUGGGAGAGGGAUGCGGAAUUCCAGGUGUAGCGGUGAAAUGCGUGAGAUAUCUGGAGGAACACCGGUGGCGAAGGCGGCAUCCUGGACCAACACUGACGCUGAGGAGCGAAAGCCAGGGGAGCAAACGGG